AUAUUCUCUCCAGUAUAUUUUAUUCUCUCUAAUUUCUAACUACCCAAAAAAGAGAUCAUGAAACAUCCGUGUAGGGUUUAUUCUCAAUUUUAAUUUAAUGUCGCACAACUCUAGUGUUUAUUCUCAUCCGUUUAUUGUAUGGAAUUGGAGAAUCUUAAGGUUGCACAAGUUUAGGGUUUAUUCUCAUCUGUCUUUUGUGUGAAAUUGAAGCAUCUGUGUAUUUCUUGUUUUCUUAAAUAGAAAUUAAAAUUUUUUUCAACAUUGAAGGAAUUGAAUGAAUUGAAGCUUCGUAUACUUUUCAUCCCUUUGGUCUUGAAGGAAUUGAAGCAUAACAACAUUUCAUCCAGGGAACUGAAGAGAAAUUUCUUAUUUUCUUAUUUCUUGAAAGUGAAGAGAUGAUACUCUUCAUUAUUCUUUCUCUGCUUUUAUAUGGAUCUUCACAGAUUGUCAUGUUGUCAUAUUGAACUCCAUCUUCCAAAGAUUAUGGAUUUUUGCAACAAAUCAAUGGAAUAUUAGUGGUGAGUUAUGCAGUGGAGCAACCAUUGAUUCAACUUCCAUCUUGGAUUUUAAACUCGCCAUCAAAUGUAACUGUUCUGCUAACAACCGAACUCUUUGUCAUAUCACUGGCUUGUAAGUCACUUUUUUCCCCUACACAAUGUUCGAUAUCUGUUAAAUAUAGGCAAAAAAUAGUUUUGAUCUCGUGUAGUAUUUACAAUGUAUUUGUCUGAUAAAAUGGAUUCAAAUGAAGCCCUUCCAUUUCCUAGCUCAACUUCUGUUCAAUCGCACUCCUAUUCUUACCCUAUGCAUUUUGUCAUCCCUUAGUUUUUUUUUACUGCGUUGUUCACUUUAAUGAUAUUUGUCUUAAGAGAUAAAUUAAAACUUUAGAGGUCAUAGAUGCUCUUCUAAUAUAUACUAUAUAACUGGAUAGAGAUUUGUUAAGUGCUUCUUAGAUUUUCUUUAUACAUUUAUGUAGUCCUUGAUGCACAAACACUUAAUUACUAAUUACUAGUAUUGACCAUGUCAGAUUUGUUUUCUUGAUAUUACUUCUUCUUCUUAUUGUUCUAUGCAGUUGGAUAUAGUUUGGGGUAUUUACUUAAUGUGUAACUUUGAUUUCUCUUUCCAACCAUUCUUUAUGGAGAUUUUAUGCCAUGGACGUUGGGGGUGGAAUUCCUGAUGAAUUAUGGGGUCUUACCUUCCUCGAUGAUCUGUACUUGCUUUCUCUAACUAUAGUUUCAUCCUAUACUUUUGUGUUUUAUCUCUCAGCUACUGAUAUUUUAGUUAUAAAUUGCAGAAAUUUAGCCCAAAGUUCUUGACAGACAUACUGUCCCCAUCCAUUAGUAAUCUGACUAGGAUGAAAUGGCUGUAAGUCUAAUCUAUUUCAGUUAUUUAUGCACAAUCGUGAUAGCUUGGUAUCAAAAUGUCUGGAAUAAUUUAGAUAUUUGGUGUAUAAAGAUUCUUUGGGACCAAUGAUUUAUCAGAGGAGAUUCCACAGGAACUUGGAUUGUUGACUGAGUUACAAUCAUUGUAUGUUCUUAUAAUUAUGUCUGUUGGACCUUUGGUUUCAUGAGAUAUCAUGUAUCAAUUUUAUAUGAAAAGCAUCAAUCUUUGUCGUUUCCUCUUCAUUUGUUUGUCAUUUUCCCGUGUUACAGAAGUUUUGGCACAAACAACUUCUCUAGGCCUCUGUCUCCAGAGCUUGGAGACUUAACAAAACUGACACAAAUGUGAGUUAUGAUGCAUUGAUUUACAUCUUACAAAACCACUACCACAUCAUUUUAAUUGUUUGAUUUUUACAGUUUGCAUGAGAAAUUUGUUAUCUGUUUAUGAACAUGAUACAAAAUCUAUAUGGUGCUAUGUUUUUUUAAUUUAUACAUCAAAUGCAAGGCCCUAAAAAUUAUAUUAGUAGAGUAGGAGGUUGUUAAUGUCUCCACGAUCUAAUGCAAUCUAUGUUAUGCUUGGUUUAUUUUCAUGCUAGCAAAGGAGUAUAGUUAAUUAAUCCCUUCUCUAGUUUUCUGUAUAAAGUAAUCAUUCCUUAUUUGAAAAGUAUGAUAAACUAGGUUAGGUUUUAAAUAUUUGUCACAUGAAUUUCACAAACAAUGCAAAAUACAACAAGGUCAAGACAUAUAACUCUCAUUUUACGCACAUUAGUAUCUAUCUUCCUUGUCCCCUUUUCAUUUCGUUUCUCCUUCCAUUCUACAUACUUGAAGCUUUAAAAUUCUAAUUUGAACUUGUAACAUACAGAAAUAGAAAGUAAAGAAAAAUAGUACUCUAUCUGUUUUAUUUAUGUUGGCCCUUAUACCAAAAAUAGAGUUUUAUUACUUACUUCCCGUGCUAUUUAUAGUAUUAAAUAACUACAUAACUUUAGAAUUACCAAGCAUCAUUAAUAAGGUUAUUUUAGUAAAAUACACCUCUAAUUUCCUACAGAUUAUGUGAAAGGAAGGCACUUUCCAGGGAGGUGGCUUAUGAUGUUGAAAGCCUGGCUCAUUAAAAAGUAUUCCAGGUCAAUAGGGGCAAGUAAAAACAAUGAUAUACAUAAUAUAUUCCCACAAAGUAGGGUCUGGGAGGGUAGAGUGUACACAUUCCUUACCUCUACCCUAUAUGUAAGGUAGAGAGGUUGUUUCUGGUAGACCCUCGUCUCAAGACAAAAACAGUCUAGAAAAAGACUUAAUUGAAGUAGAAGAGAUAAUAGGUAGUUUAAAAAACACCAGAUAGUAGUAGAGUAAUACUACAAUUGAACUGCACGAAACAACAUAUAGCAUAACUUGAAAUAUUUAGCACACAUCUAGACAAGUAGAUGCCAAACAAUACAACAUAUACAAAUACAUGAGAAUUUCCAACAAAUAUAGGAAAUAUAAGUUAUUUUUGAGGUUGAUAAGUUAAUUUUUCUCUUGGAUAGGCCUUUCUUUGAUUGUUGAAAUUUCAUAUGUUCAUAUGGUUUUUGCAAAGUAUGAAACUUUUUUCUUAUAACGUAAUAUGUCACUUCUUUAUUGCUUAUAUUUCUUUAUUUUUAAUUAUUCUGUCAUUUUUUUUCAUCUUUUUUUAAAUAAAAAACUAUUUUGUUGCGUAGUUAUGUCACUAGUGUUGGUGUUAGUGCUCCAAUACCAUUGACGUUUGCAAAAUUGCGGAACAUGGAUAUGGUGUAAGAGCUUUCUGUCACAUGCUCCUUCUCUUGCUUCUUAAUUUUUACUUGGACAAAUUUAUGUUGUAAAUCUCACUGGAAACUUAACUAUCCGUGCUUUCAGGUGGGCUUCAGAUAAUGAUUUUAUAGAGAGGAUUCUAGAUUUCAUUCAUAGUUGGUCAAGUGUUACUGCACUGUGAGACAACAGCUAUUUGAACUAUGUCCAGUUUAUUAUUCUCUAAUUCCUUCAAGAAAUAUUGUCUUACUUUUUUCCUACAACAUUGGUAUAAUGCCUUUACUGUAUCUAUUCUCUAGUGUAGUCUGUCUCAGAUUUAUCUAUUGUCAUAGGAGGUUCGAAGAAAAUGCAUUUUUCUAUUAUCUCUAAUUGUCUUACUAAGGUAAGCUCCGAUUAACCCACAAGCAGAUGCCAAACAAUACAACAUAUAUAAAUACAUGAGAGAAUCUAUCAAAUAUAGAAAAAUAGAAGUUAUUUUUGAGGUAACAACUGCCAGCUUUAGGAAGAAACAUAUUCACCAGAAAUAUACUCUCUCCGACCCAAUUCAUGUGACAUUGGUUUAAGAAAGAAAAACUUUUGAAACUUUUGAUCUAAACAAGUCAUAAAUGUUUGUAUUACUAUAUAUCACAUUUCAUUAGGGGUAAAGUGGAAAGUGCAAGAGUAAAUUGUUUCUGAAUGUGGAAAAAGUGUCAUUCAUGUUGGACAAACCAAAAAGGAAAGUAUGUCACAUAAAUGGGGCUAGAGGGAGUAUAUGUCAAUUAGCAUUUCCUACUACUUUCUUUGUUACUAUUUCAAAAUUAUUCAUGAAGACUUUAUUAGUUUCAAGCCUAUUUCAGUUGGAUACUCUCUUGCUUUCCUAGACUUAGAAAUUGUAUUUGUCUUCUUACUUCUUUUUCUUUGUGUGGCAAGUGGUCCGUUCCCUUGCACCAAUGCUGGAUGCGACAUUAAGACCUAAUUUCCUCACUCUCCUUCCAUGCAUUUUUAGAUCUGUUCAUCAUUUGCAUAUUGUUGUGAGAUUAGCUGCAUAUAAAUGUAUUACAGCUAUGGCCAUUUCAAUGACAUUGGAUGUGAUGGGUUCGGUUAUUGAUAAUGUGGUGCCUAUGUUAGGUGACAUUAUAUCUAUUCAUUCUAAACAAGGAGCUGGCAUUCUUUUCAGCUUUCUUGUCCAAGGACUUGGUAUCGAGCUGGUUCCAUAUGCUCCCCUCUUAGUAGUUCCCCUUCUGAGGUGUAUGAGUGAUUCAGAUUAUUCUGUCAGAUAGAGUCUGACAUAUAGUUUUGAAAUCUUCAUGCCUCUACUUCCAUUAGCAUAUGGUGUUUCUCCUCCUGUUGGUCUUAGUGAGCACCUAUCAAGAUGUCAAGAAGAUGUUAAAUUUUUGGAGCAGCUAAUUGACAACUCACGUAUUGAUGAUUACAAACUCUCAACUAAACUAAAGGUGACAUUAAGAAGCUGAGACCUGAAUUACCAUCGGGAUAGAGCUAAUUGGAUAUUGUGUUGCGAGCUUACCAGGACACUUAAUACAUGCACUUCUAAGUGAGCAGCUGCUACAUUUUUAGUCCAGAACAUAAAGUCCGCACUUUGACAUGUAAUGAAGAAAUAACAGUACAAAAACAUAUGAAGAAAAUUUAAGAGAUAACUCUCAAAUAUCUGUGUACUACAAUUACUUUGUGAUAAUUCAUUAAUCAACUAUUUAGCAACUAUUCUACCGUAUUAA